UCCUAGAGUGGUACAUAUCUCUAAUCGCAGCACUUAGGAGGCAAAGGCAGACUGAUCUCUGUGAGUUCAAGGUCAGCCUGGGCUACAUACCACGAUCCAGGCCAUCCAGGACUACACAAUGUUUUUCCUACCCUCGGAGGUAAUACGGCAACGGCAAACAUGAGCGGGGGAUGAGGAGGAGAGGAAAAGACCAGAGAGGAUAAGAAAGUUGUCGAUUGUGGGAGCCCAGAGCAGAAAAUAUUCUGGCGACUGAACAGAACAGAAACCAAACCAGACCAACUCCAAAGGCCCCAGGCUUAAAGGGAAUGUUUCCUGGAACGCUGGCAGAAGUCCAGCCAGUGGCUGGAGAGACGGUGCGUUUCCCUUACAAGUAUUUCAGAGACCCUAUGCCCCCAAUUCUACCUUUCUCUUUCUAACUUUUUUGAAGGCACGAAGGCAGAGAAACCCAUGCGGGUGGGAAGGCCACCUGAUUUACAACUCUCUCUCCCAUGCUGCUCUUUUCAUUGCAAAUGUGAAAUAGUCCGUCUGCAUUGCUCUUGCCAUCCUAUUUAUAAGCACUGGUUCUGAAGAAAGUGUGUUCUGUGUGGAAAAAAAAACAAAAAACAAACAAAAAAACAAAAACCCAAAAUCCUG
rnacentral:lncRNA from 1 species